rnacentral:rRNA from 1 species
UACGUAGGUGGCAAGCGUUGUCCGGAUUUACUGGGUCGGUAAGGGCGUGCAGGCGGUCUGUUAAGUGCAGGGUGAAAGCUCCCGGCUCAACUGGGAGAGGUCCUUGCAUACUGGCGGACUUGAGGGGGGUAGAGGAAGUGGAAUUCCCGGUGUAGUGGUGAUAAUGCGUAGAUAUCGAGAGGAACACCCUGCGGCGAAGGCGGGUUGCUGGGCUGAUACUGACGCUGAUGCGCGAAAGCCAGGGGAGGCAAACAGG